GGCAGCGAGUGACAGUGAAAGAAACGCUCCCCACGUGCACGAACCCUAGCCGCUGCUCUCCUCUCCGCGACCCCCAACCACCACCGCUCCUCUCUCCUCUGCCUCGACUCCCAACCAUCCAACCCAAAUUCCGGCGGCCUCCUCUCCCUCCAGCGCCGCCGCUCCACCCUCACCUUCCUUCCUCUCCAAAGGAAGGGAAGGGAAGUGAUGGGGAGGGGAGGCCCCAGAUCGAGCGGAGCGACGUCCAGAUCCGCAGCGGCACUGGCACCAGCGCGCCGUCGUCCACCUGGCCUCUUCCUCUCCUCUAACUUGGUCGCCUCUUUCUCUCCUCUUCCUUAUUCUCAGAUCGGGGGAAGGUCGUCGCCAUGGAAGGCGGGAUGGGUGGAGGAGUAAGGGAGGCUGCCGAUGGGGGGAGGAGCAGUGAGGCCGGAGGUCGUCGCGGAUGGCCUCCACCAACGGCAGUCUAGAGCUCGGUCGGAUGGAGCAGUUGGAGAGGAGUGGCGGAUGCGCGGGGCAUCGCCGACCAGAGAGGACGGGGAGGAGAUAUGCCAGCGAGGGAGGCGGCUCGGCUUGGACCGGCCAUGGCGCCGGCGUUGCUCACUCCCACGGGCCUCUCAUUCCCCAUCUUUUCUGGAAGUGAUGAAACAAGCAAGGAGGAAGGGCGUAGUGUUGGAUAUUUGACCAGGUGACAUAUGGAUGCCUCUGUUCUGAAUAGACAAUGUUUACUUGAACCUAUAUGGUCUGAAUAAAGUUUACGCCGUCAAUAUUUUUCUGUGACCUGCCAAGGUCUCGCUCUGUGACGUUUGGCUGCCCGGUCAACCAAUCUCCUCGCUCGUGCUCGCCGAAGGAUCUCCUGCGGUUCGGUUUACCUGAAACCUCGCAUGUUGUCUCCUGUAAUCUCCUCGCUUGUGUUUGGCGAAGGUGCAGGCCAUCGCCAUCGCCAUGUCCCCUAGAUUGACAAGCGGACGGCCGGAUCCAAGACCAAGCACCCCUGUGGGCUUCCUGCUCGGGCUCCUCAACGCCACGACGGCUGCGGGAUCCACGACCAUGGUUGCGCGAGCGCCCAGAUGCAGGGCGGUUCCGAACCCAAAGCGCAGUUUGCAGGAAUUCCACAUAUUGAACCUUUAAGAUGGCUUGAAAUGGACCUGCAUAAUGUGAAUUGGGGCCAGUAUCUAAACACUCUGUUUUGGAACCUCAACUAUUGGGAUUGAAUCAGUACGCUGGCUGGAGAGGAUUGACGGGGCUGCUCUCAUUUUCGGUUUGCUAUUGCUCCUUGCAUUCUACCGCUGCUCAUUGUUGUCAUAAGAAGCCAUCAAGGUUGGGUUCCUUAACACUCCCUUGCUCAAUUUUUGCCUACUGAAAGCGAUGUGUGUUGAUGUGUUGGUUUUGACAACAUCCCCUUGUGAUCUUUGUUGGCAUAUCAAACGAGGAUAUUUGUUGGCAUACCCGUUGGAUUCUAGCAGACUAGCGCGGUGCUCGGGUGCCUAGCUUACUUCAGUUCUGAGUCAGCGGCAACGAAGUAAUCUGUUCCUGAAUCUAGCAGCGGCCCAUUCCCCUGUCGUGCCUGGACUAGCCAGAUCGAUUUUGGAGCUUGUCUAUUCUGCCUUUGGCAUUCCCUGGAUUUCUACUUGGAUGUGUUGCUGCCGCCUCCCUCCGCUCUUCCCAUCUUGCUAGAGCCGCCGCACCCGGAGGCGACCGGCGUCGCUCCAUCUCGAGCUGCAUGUUCCCUUCUCUCUCCCCCGACGACCGGGAAGAUGCUGAUGUGUGUGCAUCUUUCUUUUGUUUAAAGAGGUGGCCUUUUGUGUGGUACUCAACUGCUAUCUCAGGAAGGUAACUCUUUCCUGCCUGUUUUUUGAUUUUUAUGCUCAGUCCACACUUUAGUUUAUGUUUCUUGGUGUGCAAUGUGCUCAAUCUACCUUUUUUCUUUACCAAUUUUGGUUGAUGGUCGAUCGAGAGGUGGUAGAUACAGAUGCAAGAAGAGAGGUGCAUAUUCUGGCUUACUACAGAAAAUAACUCUAUAUGAAGAUUAAUUGUAAGGAUGUGAUGCUUCAAGGAAAUACUGUGCAUAAUUAGGUCUGCUGCUUUUAACUAGACAUGUUGAUAUGGCUAUUGCUUCCUUUCAUGCUUCACCGGCGUCGAUGCCACCAACCACAAGGGACAUUGCAAAGAUAUGAAGGGAUAGUCUUUCGUUAAAAACCUGAUCUUUUGUUUGAAAGGGUCUAACUUUUACUGUGAACUACUUAUCAUGAUCUUAUUUUGAAGUGAUGGAUUUUUACAGAUAUUAGGCAGUGCUUGACUUUGGUGGCGUCGCCUUCUGGCAGGUCACGGGGUCAGAGCACAGUAACCUGACACGGUGUUCCAAACUCAGGCGGUCAUGGUCGACCAGAUGUUGAAGGGCUUGGUAGAAAUUCUCACGGAGAAAGAGAACAAGUUUUGAAGAGAUUCAGUGUAACUGGAAAUUGUCAGACUCACCGGAGAUGCUGUCGCGUGCAAACCCUAGGCCUGGUUCCUGGACUUGGUCGGCCUCCUCGGGGGAUGUAGCUGCGCUCCAGUGUCGACUCCUCGACCAAUGACGCUCCAUCCCAACCCCACCAAUCUUCACCGCUGCUUGACGACAUGGAGCUGAACACCGCUGCAACCAUGGUGGCGCCCCCUCUGACCAAGCUGCAAGGUUAAUUCACUGAUCAGUACUUCAAACUUGAUUGUUGAAUUGUACUAAAUUCCAUACUCCGGUCUUCCGGUGGCCUCCCUGGGAUGUGACAUCUAAAUAUGUAUUCUUGCCAUCGCAGCAAAAAAAUUGAGAUAUCUCAUAUAUUGGCAAAGCUAAUGCCUGAGAGGGAGCUACCCAAACAAGCAUGCUUUAUAUUUGGGGUGUGUAGGCUGGAAGGAUCAUUGGUAAUUGAUCCUAUCAAAGGAAGGUGCGAUCUCCAGCCUGAAGGAAUGGCUGAUUGAUUUAGCUAUAGGAAGCAAUCCUGUUCUGCGAUUGAUUGCUGGAAUCAUAUUUAUCCAAGAGCAAGACUACACACGAGGCUGUCAAGCACACACACACAACGGAGGAACUCUGGACAUUUCAUCAUCUUCUGACAUUGGAAGAGGAUGCACUAAGUUAUAAAGUAAUAAAGUAAGACAUGGAUUUCCCUUACUUGAGAGAAGAUCUGGCCAUGACAUUGACACUGCUAUGUACCAGACUAAAGUUCAACAAACGAUCAUUCAUCAUCUUCUGAUCAUGAUCUUUGCCGUUUACGAUGCCAAUUUUGGAGAUACCGUUUGUUCAACUACAUACUAAU